CCUACGGGAGGCAGCAGUGGGGGAUAUUGCACAAUGGGGGGAACCCUGAUGCAGCGACGCCGCGUGGGUGAAGGAGCGUUUCGGCGCGUAAAGCCCUAUCGGCAGGGAAGAAGGAGGACGUUACCUGACUCAGACGCCCCGGCUAACUACGUGCCAGCAGCCGCGGUAAUACGUAGGGGGCAAGCGUUAUCCGGAUUUACUGGGUGUAAAGGGGGCGCAGACGGCAGCGCAAGCCAGGAGUGAAAGCCCGGGGCCCAACCCGGGGACGGCUCAUGGAACUGCGCGGCUGGAGUGCAGGAGAGGCAGGCGGAAUUCCUGGUGUAGCGGUGAAAGGCGUAGAGAGCAGGAGGAACACCGGUGGCGAAGGCGGCCGGCUGGACUGCGACUGACGUUGAGGCCCGAAAGCGUGGGGAGCAAACAGGAUUAGAUACCCCUGUAGUC
rnacentral:rRNA from 1 species